rnacentral:lncRNA from 1 species
UUCUCUUCAUUUUUAUUGACAAAAUCCACAUACAUUUUCCAAGAAAUAGUAUAAUGCCAUUGCGACCUAGCAAAAUCUUAGGUGUUCUUUGUGCGUGUUAAGUGGGAUCGACGGCCUUUGGUUCAUAUUCAUAGUCUCUGCGUCGAGUAAAUCAAGUUCUUCUUCUUAGCUUGAUGUCCUUUCUCUAGCUAUCUGAAACUGUUCUCUAAUAGCUGAGUGAUUAAGGUAGUAUCGUUACAGCGUUAUGCGCACAACCACAAAGUAACAUCUCAAGAUCGAGCUCCCAGCAUACAAGAAUAAUGGUGAAAUGCAUAAAUUAAAUCAAUGAUCGUAAUUACAGCAGAAGAUGAGGGUACACAAAUGUGCGGACGGAAGGGGGGAAAGAGGGGGAGAAAUGAAACAAAGGCUGCAAAGAAACAAUGAAAUGAUACAUCAUCAGGUCAUCUAGAAGGCGUAGAUGGCGACGGCGGCGGCGGCCAGCACGAAGGCGGGGCGGAGACCAGCGGCGCCGCUGCCCGGGGUGGCGGGCUCGGCGGUGGGCGAGGGCGACAUGUCCGGGGUGGGCGCCGGAGGGGAGGACAUCGGGGAGUCGGCGGGCGCCGGUGCGGUGGCGGAGGGCGUGGGGGCGACGGUGGGCGCGGGCGCCGGGGCCGCGGUAGGGGGCGGGGACACCGGCGCCGGGGUAGGGGGCGCCAUUGCCGGGGGCGGGGUCGCCGGCGGGGGAGGCGGGGCCUGGGGCGCUGCCGCGGGAGCUGCUCCGGGCGCCUGAGCGGUGGCGGCCACGGCGAGGAGCGCGAGGACGGAGAGGAUGGUGAGCUGAGAAGCGGCCAUUGUGCAAGCAAACCUUGGGUGGUUUCUUGGUGGCUCGCUUCUCGCUUCCUCUGCCUGCGCUGUGAGCUGAAAUGUGUGUGUGUGUGGGUGGGGGAGCGAUGGAGAGGCGCGGCGGGGCUUAUAAAGGAGGGCCGGAACUGAGCUGUGCGGUGGCGUUGCGUGGGACAGCGCCGAUGCAUUGUGCAGUAGCGGCUUGCAUGAUUGUUGGGUUGGCAUCUCUCCCACUCUCUCCCUCUCUCUCAUUAUUGAUUGAUGCUUUCUUUUUCUUCGGUAGGAAUCUUGAGGGAAAUCGAAUAAUGGGUGCGAUGAUGAACUGGUCGUAUAAUUGGGUUGGAAUAUAAAUGGGAAACUGUUUAUCGUAUUGAUAAUGAAGUGGUUUGGUUAAAAAAUGAUAAUGAGGUAGUUUGGUAAGAAAAAUGGGAUUAAUAACUAUUGGAUAUCUAGACAUGGUGGAUUGGAUUAUAAAUGGAACACUGUUUUAUUCCGCUAUCGUAAUGAUAAUGAAGUAGUUCAGUUAAAAAAUGAUAAUGAGGUAGUUUGGUAAGAAAAAAAUGGGAUUUAUAAUGGUUGGAUAUCUAGACAUGGUAGAUGGUGCUACCCGACGGUGAACACAGGCGGUGCUGCUUCUUCUGAACGCAACAGCUAAGAUCAACUCUAUUGGAGUCUUCCGGUUGUUCUCGGUCUCUGACGACGACGACAUGGACGGCGCCUCGACCUCCGUCUUUGAUUCCAUUAUUUAGGUGGUGGAUCCCAUGUGUCCUAUGGGUCCCACGCCACAACCUACUUCUGCACCUCUUGGGUUUCCAACAGUGGACCAUCACCACCUAAAUCGUCAAAGAGUUUGGCACAGAGGUGGCAGAGAAGGGACCAAAGAAGAAGACGGAGAAGGCUCGUGACCAUCUCAUCAUCGCUUCCUUCCGGCGACUUGCGAAACUAUGGCGCCUUUAAAGUCGUAUACACUGGGCCAGAAACAACGAUGAGGUAUAAAAAAAUUACCAUUUACCUUGUAUUUGGGUUCUUUGUCGAUUAAAUGCAACGUGGUUAUUGAAAAUUGCAGGGGAAAUGUGCAAUGUUUGCGAUUUAACGAUUUCUAAGUUUGGAGGGAUCGAUCUUUCACAAGGAAUCAAUUAUCAAUAGUAGGUUUGGUCAUUCCGUAACAAAUUAUGUCAAUCUCAAGGCCGUAUUGUUGCCACUUUUAGAUCAUCAGUUCGGACAAAAAUUAAAUUUGAUCAAUUGGAGGUUAUGGAUUGCGGAGGAAGAAAAUAGUUCGGGGAACUAACUUUAAGGCUAACGAGUAUAUUUUGAUUGUGUUGGCAUGGAAAGAUAUAUCUUUUGACGUGGUUGUCUGGAAAGAAAAAUCCAAGCGCAAAAUAGUGAAAGUGCACCAAGGAACGUUUCAAAUAUCAUCAUUAGGCGGAGAACGGAUCAUACCUUCAAAUCUCUCACAAAUCGAUGAGGUGACUUCAAAUCUAGGACAGAGGGAAAUCCACCACUAGAGCCAUCUUCAUCAACCUUGUCGCCUUCAUGGUCAUGUGUGAGUAGUUUCCUUAGGAGCUUAGUGUCCAUAGAAGUAUCUAGAUGGCAUCCUCUCUCCCUUGUGAUUCGAUAUAAAAUUUCUAUGAGCUGCCUCAUAUGAUUGGGAUGCAUAUAAUGUAAUCGGUGGUUGUGUUUGUUGGAAUAUGAUGAAUUGUCACUUUAUGAUCAGAUUGUUCACUAAAUUAUAUUGAAUCUUUUGAAGCUUUUGGCCGCAUAAUUUAGUAGCCAUGCUUGUCGUCUCUGUCCAAGAUUGUUAGGUAGUUCUUCACAGGGAGUUGUGCAUUGUAAUGGGUUCAAUCUUGAAGUGAUCUAUCCGAGUGACAGAAAGGGAACGAACAUGUAUUCUAUUCUUGCCAUUAAGGAUACAACGAUGGUUUAUUUAUCACAUUUAGAUGAUAGUUUUACUGUCUAUAUUAUGCCAUCAUGAAUGUUGCAAUGCUAUGCUUAUCAUGAACUUAAUACUUCGAGAUGCAUACUGGAUAGUGAUACGUCCAUUUUGCAUCAUGUUUCCUUACUGUUAUUUAUGAUGUUUUUAUGCAUAAUAAUGCUUUUUGGAGUAAUUAUAAUACCUUUUCUCUCAUGAUUUACAAGGUACACACAAAGAGGGAGAAUUCCGAUAGCUGGAAAUCUGGACCUGGAAAAGCUACGUCAGGCCACCUAUUAUGCACAACUCCAAACAAGUAGAAACUUCACGGAGAUUUUUUAUCAAAUAUAUGAUGAAUAUUGGAGCAAAUAACUAUCAGAGGGGGCCCACCAGGUGGGCACAACCCACCUGGGCGCGCCAGGGAGCCCAGGCGCACCGUGGUGGGUUGUGCUCACCCAGGCCCACCUCUGGUGCCCAUCUUCUGGUAUAUAGGUCAUUUUAACCUAGAAAAAAUAAGGAGGGGACUUUCGAGACAGAGCACCGCCAUCUCGAUGUGGAACUUGGGCAAGAGCACUUUUGUCCUCCGGCGGAGUGAUUUCGCUGGGGGGAUGAUACGUCCAUUUUGCAUCAUGCUUUUAUAUCGAUAUUUAUUGCAUUAUGGGCUGUUAUUACACAUGAUGUCAUAAUACUUAUGCCUAUUCUCUCUUAUUUUACAAGGUUUACAUGAAGAGGGAGAAUGUCGGCAGCUGGGAUUCUGGGCUGGAAAAGGAGCAAAUAUUAGAGACCCAUUCUGCAUAGCUCCAAAAGUCCUGAAACUUCACGGAAAUUAUUUCCAGAAUAUAUAAAAAAUACUGAGCGCAAGAAUUACCAGAGGGGGGCCACGCACCAGCCACGAGGGUGGGGGGGCGCGCCCUACCCCCCUGGGCGCGCCCCCUGCCUCGUGGGCCCCCUGGUGGCCCUCCGAUGCCCAUCUUCUGCUAUAUGAAGUCUUUCAUCCGAGAAAAAAUCAUAAGCAAGCUUACGGGACGAAACUCCGCCUCCACGAGGCGGAACCUUGGCGGAACCAAUCUAGGGCUCCGGCAGAGCCGUUCUGUCGGGGCCACUUCCCUCCGGGAGGGGGAAAUCAUCACCAUCGUCAUCACCAACGAUCCUCUCAUCGGGAGGGGGUCAAUCUCCAUCAACAUCUUCACCAGCACCAUCUCAUCUCAAACCCCAUUUCAUCUCUUGUAUCCAAUCUUUGUAUCCAAACCUCAGAUUGGUACGUGUGGGUUGCUAGUAGUGUUGAUUACUCCUUGUAGUUGAUGCUAGUUGGUUUACUUGGUGGAAGAUCAUAUGUUCAGAUCCAUUAUGCAUAUUAAUACCCCUCUGAUUAUGAACAUGAAUAUGCUUUAUGAGUAGUUACAUUUGUUCCUGAGGACAUUGGAGAAGUCUGGCUAUUAGUAGUCAUGUGAAUUUGGUAUUCGUUCGAUAUUUUGAUGAGAUGUAUGUUGUCAUCCCUCUAGUGGUGUCAUGUGAACGUCGACUACAUGACACUUCACCAUUGUUUGGGCCUAGAGGGAGGCAUUGGGAAGUAAUAAGUAGAUGAUGGGUUGCUAGAGUGACAGAAGCUUAAACCCUAGUUUAUGCGUUGCUUCGUAAGGGGCUGAUUUGGAUCCAUAUGUUUCAUGUUGUGGUUAGGUUUACCUUAAUACUUCUUUUGUAGUUGCGGAUGCUUGCAAUAGGAGUUAGUCAUAAGUGGGAUGUUUGUCCAAGUAAGGACAACACCCAAGAACCGGUCCACCCACAUAUCAAAUUAUCAAAGUACUGAAUGCGAAUCAUAUGAACGUGAUGAAAACUAGCUUGACGAUAAUUUCCAUGCAUGUAUCCUCGGGAGCGCUUUCCUUCAUAUAAGAGUUUUUCCAGGCUUGUCCUUUGCUACAAAAAGGAUUGAGCCAUCUUGCUGCACCUUAUUUACUUUUAUUACUUGCUACUCGUUACAAAUUACCUUAUCACAAAACUAUCUGUUACCGAUAAUUUCAGUGCUUGCAGAGAAUACCUUGCUGAAAACCGCUUAUCAUUUCCUUCUGCUCCUCGUUGGGUUCGACACUCUUACUUAUCGAAAAGGCUACGAUAGAUCCCCUACACUUGUGGGUCAUCAAGACUCUUUUCUGGCGCCAUUGCUGGGGAGUGAAGCUCCUUUGGUAGGUGGAAUUUGGUAAGGAAAAAUUUAUAUAGUGUGCUGAAAUUUACUGUCACUUGUUACCAUGGAACAUAAUCCUUUGUGGGGUUUGUUCGGGGUAUCUUCACCUCGUCCGGAACCACAAUUAGUUACCACUCAACCUACUGAACCUACUGAAAAAUGUUUACUUUGAAAUUCCUUCGGGUAUGAUAGAGAAACUGCUAGCUAAUCCUUUUACAGGAGAGGGAACAUUGCAUCCCGAUUUGCACUUAAUCUAUGUGGAUGAAGAUAGUGGAUUAUUUAAGCUUGCAGGUAUGCCCGAUGAUGUUAUCAAGAAGAAGGUCUUUCCUUUAUCUUUGAAGGGAGAUGCAUUGACAUAGUAUAGGCUAUGUGAUGAUAUGGUAUCAUGGGACUAUAAGCGAUUGAAAUUGGAAUUUCACCAGAAGUUUUAUCCUAUGCAUCUUGUCAUCGUGAUCGUAAUUUUAUAUAUAAUUUUUGGCCUCGCGAAGGAGAAAUCAUCGCUCAAGCUUGGGGGAGGCUUAAGUCAAUGUUAUAUUCAUGCCCCAAUCAUGAGCUCUCAAGAGAAAUGAUUAUUCAAAAAAAUUAUGCUCGACUUUCUGACAACAAUCGCUCCAUGCUCGAUACUUCUUGUACUUGUUCCUUUAUGAUGAAGACUAUUGAACUCAAAUGGAAUUUAUUGGAGAGAAUUAAACGCAACUCUAAAGAUUGGGAUCUCGACAAAGGUAAGGAGUCAGGUAUAACACCUAAGUUUGAUUGUGUUAAAUCUUUUAUGGAUACCGAUGCUUUCCGUAAAUUUAGCACUAAAUAUGGACUUGACUCUGAGAUAGUAGCUUCUUUCUGUGAAUCCUUUGCUACUCAUGUUGAUAUCCCUAAGGAGAAGUGGUUUAAAUAUAAUCCUCCCAUUGAAGUAAAAGUAGUUGCACCUGUUAAAGUUGAAGAAAAGACUAUCACUUAUAAUGAUCCUAUAGUUCCUACUGCUUAUGUUGAGAAACCACCUUUCCCUGUUAGAAUUAAGGAUCAUGCUAAAGCUUCAACUGUAGUCAACAAGAGUAAUAUUAGGACACACAAACCCCUGAGCAAAUUAAAGUUGAACCUAAUAUUGCUAUGGUUAAAGAUCUCUUGUCGAUAAUAUUGAUGGGCAUGUUAUUUAUUUCUGUGAAGAAACUGCUAGAAUUGCUAAACCUGGUGCUAAAGAUAAACAUAGACCUGUGGUAGGCAUGCCUAUUAUUUUUGUUAAAAUAGGAGAUCGUUGUUAUCAUGGCUUGUGUGAUAUGUAUGCUAGUGCUAGUGCAAUACCUAUUUCCUUAUACAAAGAAAUUAUGCAUGAUAUUGCACCUGCUGAGAUAGAAGAUAUAGAUGUUACAAUUAAGCUUGCCAAUAGAGAUACUAUUUCACCAAUUGGGAUUGUUAGAGACGUUGAAGUCUUGUGUGGGAAGGCUAAAUAUCCUACUGAUUUCAUUGUUCUUGGUUCCCCUCAAGAUAGCUUUUGUCCCAUUAUAUUUGGUAGACCCUUCUUGAAUACUGUUAAUGCUAAGAUAGAUUGCAAGAAGGAUGUUGUUACUAUUGGUUUGGAUGAUAUGUCUCAUGAUUUUAAUUUUUCUAAAUUUCGUAGACAACCCCGUGAUGAAGAAUUGCCUAGUAAAGAUGAAAUUAUUGGUCUUGCUUCUAUUGUUGUGCCUCCUAAUGAUCCUUUAGAACAAUAUUUACUAGACCAUGAGAAUGACAUGUUUAUGAAUGAAAGAAGGGAAAUAGAUGAAGUAUUAUUUAAACAAGGACCCAUUCUGAAACACAAUUUGCCUGUUGAAAUCCUAGGGGAUCCUCCUCCACCCAAGGGUGAUCCCGUGUUUGAGCUUAAACCAUUGCCUGAUACUCUUAAAUAUGCUUAUCUUGACGAAAAGAAGAUAUAUCAUGUUAUUAUUAGUGCUAACCGUUCAGAGCAUGAAGAAAAUAAAUUAUUGAAAACUCUGAAGAAGCACCGUGCUGCUAUUGGAUAUACUCUUGAUGAUCUUAAGGGCAUUAGUCUCACUCUAUGUCAACACAAAAUAAAUUUGGAAAAAGAUGCCAAACCAGUUAUUGAUCACCAACGACGGCUAAACCCUAAGAUGAAAGAAGUGGUAAGAAAGGAAAUAUUAAAACUCCUUGAGGUAGGUAUAAUUUAUCCAGUUGCUGAUAGUCAGUGGGUAAGUCCUGUCCAUUGUGUCCCUAAGAAGGGAGGUAUUACUGUUGUUCCUAAUGAUAAAGAUGAAUUGAUCUCGCAAAGAAUUAUUACAGGUUAUAGGAUGGUAAUUGAUUUCCAUAAAUUAAAUAAAGCUACUAAAAAAGAUCAUUACCCUUUGCCUUUUAUUGAUCAAAUGCUAGAAAGAUUAUCCAAACAUACACAUUUUUGCUUUCGAGAUGGUUACUCUGGCUUCUCUCAAAUACAUGUGUCAGCUGAUGAUCAAGCAAAUACCACUUUUACUUGCCCUUUCGGUACUUUUGCUUAUAGACGUACGCCUUUUGGUUUAUGUAAUGCACUUGCUACCUUUCAAAGAUGCAUGAUGGCUAUAUUUUCUGACUUUUGUGAAAAGAUAUGCGAGGUUUUCAGGGACGAUUUCUCUGUUUAUGGAUCAUCUUUUGGUGAUUGCUUGAGCAACCUUGAUCGAGUUUUGCAGAGAUGUGAAGAAACUAAUCUUGUUCUGAAUUGGGAGAAAUGCCACUUUAUGGUUAAUGAAGGUAUUGUCUUGGGGCAUAAAAUUUCUGAAAGAGGCAUUGAAGUUGACAAAGCUAAAGUUGAUGCUAUUGAAAAGAUGCCAUGUCCCAAGGACAUUAAAGGUAUAAGAAGCUUCCUCGGUCAUGCCAGUUUUAUAGGAGGUUCAUUAAGGACUUCUCAAAAAUUUCUCGGCCUCUGACUAAUCUAUUACAAAAAGAUAUCCCUUUUGUCUUUGAUGAUGAUUGUGUAGAAGCAUUUGAAAUACUUAAGAAAGCAUUGAUUUAUGCACCUAUUGUUCAGCCACCUGAUUGGAAUUUACCCUUUGAAAUUAUGUGUGAUGCUAGUGAUUAUGAUGUAGGUGAUGUUCUAGGGCAAAGAGUUGAUAAGAAAUUAAAUGUUAUUCAAAAUGCUAGUAAAACUCUAGACAAUGCCAAAAAAAUUGUGCUACCACUGAAAAAGAAUUUUUAGCAGUUGUAUUUGCUUGUGAUAAGUUCAGACCUUAUAUUGUUGAUUCUAAAGUAACUAUUCACACUGAUCAUGCUGUUAUUAAAUAUCUUAUGGAAAAGAAAGAUGCUAAACCUAGAAUUAUUAGAUGGGUUCUCUUGCUACAAGAAUUUGAUUUGCAUAUUAUUGAUAGAAAGGGAGCUGAGAACCCUGUUGCAGACAACUUAUCUAGGUUAGAAAAUGUUCUUGGUGACCCACGACCUAUUGAUGAUAGCUUUCCUGAUGAACAGUUAAAUGUCAGAAAUGCUUCUCGUAUUGCUCCGUGGUAUGUUGAUUAUGCUAAUUAUAUUGUUGCUAAAUUUAUACCACCUAGUUUCACAUACCAACAAAAGAAAAGGUUCUUCUAUGAUUUAAGGCAUUACUUUUGGGAUGACCCACAUCUUUAUAAAGAAGGAGUAGAUGGUGUUAUUAGACGUUGUGUACCUGAGCAUGAACAAGAACAGAUCAUACGCAAGUGUCACUCCAAAGCCUAUGGGGGACACCAUGCUGGAGAUAGAACUGCACAUAAGGUAUUGCAAUCCUGUUUUUAUUGGCCUAUUCUCUUCAAGGAUGCCCGUAAGUUUGUCUUGUCUUGUGAUGAAUGUCAAAGAAUUGGUAAUAUUAGUAGACGUCAAGAAAUGCCUAUGAAUUAUUCACUUGUUAUUGAACCAUUUGAUGUUUGGGGCUUUGAUUAUAUGGGACCUUUUCCUUCCUCUAACGCGUAUACACAUAUUUUAGUCGCUGUUGAUUACGUUACUAAGUGGGUAGAAGCUAUUCCAACUAGUAGUGCUGAUCAUAACACCUCUAGUAAGAUGCUUAAAGAAGUUAUUUUCCCGAGGUUUGGAGUCCCUAGAUAUUUAAUGACUGAUGGUGGCUCACAUUUUAUUCAUGAUGCCUUUCAUAAAAUGCUUGCUAAGUAUGAUGUUAAUCAUAGAAUUGCAUCUCCAUAUCACCCACAGUCUAGUGGUCAAGUAGAAUUGAGUAACAGAGAGCUCAAAUUAAUUUGCAAAAGACUGUUGAUAGAUCUAGAAAGAAUUGGUCCAAGAAACUUGAUGAUGCACUAUGGGCCAAUAGAACUGCAUACAAAAAUCCUAUGGGUAUGUCUCCGUAUAAAAUGGUUUAUGGUAAAGCAUGUCACUUACCUCUCGAAUUAGAACAUAAGGCAUAUUGGGCUAUUAAAGAGCUCAACUAUGACUUCAAACUUGCUGGUGAGAAGAGGCUUUUUGACAUUAGCUCACUUGAUGAAUGGAGAACCCAGGCUUAUGAAAAUGCUAAGUUGUUUAAAGAAAAAGUUAAAAGAUGGCAUGAUAAAAGGAUACAAAAGCGUGAGUUCAAUGUAGGUGAUUAUGUAUUGCUAUACAACUCUCGUUUAAGAUUUUUUGCAGGCAAACUUCUCUCUAAAUGGGAAGGUCCUUACGUUACCGAGGAGGUCUAUUGUUCCGGUGCCAUAAAAAUCAACAACUUUGAAGGCACAAAUCUGAGCAUGGUGAACUGUCAAAGAAUCGAACAUUAUAUCUCAGGUAACCCCAUAAAUGUUGAAACUAAUGUUAUUGAAACCGUAACCCUGGAGGAAUACAUAAGGGACACUUCCCAGAAUGUUUCAGACCCCGAAAAGGAAUAGGUAUGUGGUACGGUAAGUAAACCGACUCCAAAACAGUUAUAAUGGCAAUUUUCCCUGUUUUGGAAUAUUUAGAAAAAUAGGAAAAUAAGAAGCAGUUCGGGAAGGACACGAAGCUUCCACGAGGGUGGGAGGCGCGCCCUACCCCCCUGGGCGCGCCCCCUGCCUCGUGGGCACCUCAUGUGCUCUCUGGACUCCGUUUUCUUGCACGAUACUUCUAUUGGUCGGUAAAAAAUCAUUAUAUAAUCUCCCGAAGGUUUUGACCAGCAUAUCACGCAAAUAUCUCUUGUCUUUGUUUCGAGCUGUUUUUCUGACAGAUCUAGGUCGUCAUGUCGUCUUCAAGUGCCCCCAAGGACAAGUUCUUCGAGAAGGUCAUCAACCCCUACCUCGCGGAGGUGCUGCAACACCCUCAAACCAUUGAGAUGCGUGAGGGGUUGUUGCACAUCCACGAUGUUGAGGGACCAAGGAGGAUCGGAAGCACGGAGGCAAGGCUCGAGGCAUUGGAGCAACAAGUUUUCAAGUGUCAGGAGAUGGUGGAGCAUGGACUCGACUCCAAUCACAUUAUGAUCAUGGAGUUCACCAACAACCACAAGCUGGACGUCAGGGACAUUGGGGAGGCCAUCUUCAAGCUUCAUGAGAAAAUCGAGCACCUCCAAGCCCAGAUCUAUGACCCGCAAAAUCAAAACUGUGAGUAUGAAUAUAUAUUCAAGAGGAUGAGUUUGGCUGCAGAUUUGAGGAUUUAGGAGACUCGAUCAUCCUUCUAUGAUGGUGAGCCUAUGCAUUGGAAGAGGGACGACAAGCCUACAUCAUCAACAACUCCACCUUCUUCACCAACAAAGAAGAACUGAGUAUCGGGUAUGGGCACUCCCCUUGGCAACUGCCAAGCUUGGGGGAGUGCCCCGGUAUCGUAUCACCAUCACAACUUUUAUCUUUACCGUUUUUCUUAGUUCGAUCAUUUUGAUAAUAUCUUGAUAUAGUAGAAUAAAGUUUUAGUAUGAUCUAGUUGUGAGUUUUGCUUUAUGAUCCUUCUAUGUAAUCGAGUCUGUGAGCUAUAUAAUAGAGAUUAGUGUUGAGUCAAGGGCCUGGUUAUUUUUCUAUGAUAUUGAGGGAAUAAAAUAAAAAGAGAAAGAAAUAAAGAGAUCAUAUGGAUCUUAUAGAGAAUAAUGAGCUCACAUAUAAAGAGUAUGAUGAAUAAAAGUUGUUGAGAGUUAACAAACAUAGUUUUGGUCAUCAUUGCAAUUAAUAGGAAGUAAUAAAGAAAGAGAGGUUCACAUAUAAAUAUACUAUCUUGGACAUCUUUUAUGAUUGUGAGCACUCAUGAAAGUAUGGUAUGCUAAAGAGUUGACGUUGGACAAGGAAGACAACGUAAUGGGUUAUGUUUUCUUUCAUCUAAGAUAAAUUAUAUUGUCAUGGAUCAUCCAACAUGUUGAUCUUGCCUUUCUCCCUCAUGCUAGCCAAUUCUUUUGCACCAAGUAGAAAUACCACUUGUGCUUCCAAAUACCCUUAAAACCAGUUUUGCCAUGAGAGUCCACCAUAUCUACCUAUGGAUUGAGUAAGAUCCUUCAAGUAAGUUAUCAUCGGUGCAAGCAAUAAAAAAUGCUCUCUAAAUAUGCAUGACAUAUUAGUGUGGGAGAAAAUAAGCUUUAUACGAUCUUGUGAUGUGGAAGAAAUAAAAGCGACGGACUGCAUAAUAAAGGUCCAUAUCACAAGUGGCAAUAUAAAGUGACGUUAUUUUGCAUUAAGAUUUUGUGCAUCCAACCAUAAAAGCGCAUGACAACCUCUGCUUCCCUCUGCGAAGGGCCUAUCUUUUACUUUUAUCUUCUACCUUAUAUAAGAGUCAUGGUGAUCUUCACCUUUCCUUUUACAUUUUAUCCUUUGGCAAGCACAAUGUGUUGGAAAGAUCCUGAUAUAUAUAGCUAAUUGGAUGUGAGUCUUCAUGAACUAUUAUUGUUGACAUUACCCUUGAGGUAAAACGUUGGGAGGCAAAACUAUAAGCCCCUAUCUUUCUCUGUGUCCAAUUAAAACUUCAUACCCAUAAAUAUUGCGUGAGUGUUAGCAAUUGUGAAAUACUAAAAGAUGGUUGAGUAUGUGGACUUGCUGAAAAGUUCUUAUAUUGACUCUUUCCUAUGUUAUGAUAAAUUGCAAUUGCCUCAAUGACUGAGAUUAGAGUUUGUUGGUUCUCAAUGAAGUUUAUGAUUCAUACUUGAAAUUGUGAUUGAAUUGUUACUUUAGCAUAAAGAUCAUAUGAAAAAAAAUUGUUGUUCUAAGAACGAUCAUGAUGCCCUCAUGUCUGUAUUUUAUUUUUAUCGACACCUCUAUCUCUAAACACGUGGACAUAUUUUUUGAUUUCGGCUUUCGCUUGAGGACAAGCGAGGUCUAAGUUUGGGGGAGUUGAUACGUCCCUUUUGCAUCAUGCUUUUAUAUCGAUAUUUAUUGCAUUAUGGGUUGUUAUUACACAUUAUAUUACAAUACUUAUGCCUAUUCUCUCUUAUUUUACAAGGUUUACAUGAAGAGGGAGAAUGUCGGUAGCUAGGAUUCUGGGCUGGAAAAGGAGCAAAUAUUAGAGACAUAUUCUGCACAGCUCCAAAAGUCCUGAAACUUCAUGGAAGUAAUUUCCAGAAUAUAUAAAAAAUACUGAGCGCAAGAAGUACCAGAGGGGGGCCACCCACUAGCCACGAGGGUGGGGGCGCGCCCUACCCCCUAGGCACGCCCCCCUGCCUCGUGGCCCCCUGGUGGCCCUCCGAUGCUCAUCUUCUGCUAUAUGAAGUCUUUCGUCCGAGAAAAAAUCAUAAGAAAGCUUACGGGACAAAAGUCCGCCACCACGAGGCGGAACCAAUCUAGGGCUCCGGCAGAGCUGUUCUGCCGGGGACACUUCCCUCCGGGAGGAGGAAAUCAUCACCAUCGUCAUCACCAACAAUCCUCUCAUCGUGAGGGGGUCAAUCUCCAUCAGCAUCUUCACCAGCACCAUCUCAUCUCAAACCCUAGUUCACCUCUUGUAUCCAAUCUUUGUAUCCAAACCUCAGAUUGGUACCUAUGGGUUGCUAGUAGUGUUGAUUACUCCUUGUAGUUGAUGCUAGUUGGUUUACUUGGUGGAAGAUCAUAUGUUCAGAUCCAUUAUGCAUAUUAAUACCCCUCUGAUUAUGAACAUGAAUAUGCUUUGUGAGUAGUUACAUUUGUUCCUGGGGACAUGGGAGAAGUCUGGCUAUUAGUAGUCAUGUGAAUUUGGUAUUCGUUCGAUAUUUUGAUGAGAUGUAUGUUGUCAUCCCUCUAGUGGUGUCAUGUGAACGUCGACUACAUGACACUUCACCAUUGUUUGGGCCUAGAGGGAGGCAUUGGGAAGUAAUAAGUAGAUGAUGGGUUGCUAGAGUGACAGAAGCUUAAACCCUAGUUUAUGCGUUGCUUCGUAAGGGGUUGAUUUGGAUCCAUAUGUUUCAUGAUGUGGUUAGGUUUACCUUAAUACUUCUUUUGUAGUUGUGGAUGCUUGCAAUAGGAGUUAAUCAUAAGUGGGAUGUUUGUCCAAGUAAGGACAACACCCAAGCACCGGUCCACCCACAUAUCAAAUUAUCAAAGUAUUGAACGCGAAUCAUAUGAACGUGAUAAAAACUAGCUUGACGAUAAUUCCCAUGUGUCCUCGGGAGCGCUUUCCUUCAUAUAAGAGUUUGUCCAGGCUUGUCCUUUGCUACAAAAAGGAUUGGGCCAUCUUGCCGCACCUUAUUUACUUUUAUUACUUGCUACUCAUUACAAAUUACCUUAUCACAAAACUAUCUGUUACCGAUAAUUUCAGUGCUUGUAGAGAACACCUUGCUGAAAACCGCUUAUAAUUUCCUUUUGCUCCUCGUUGGGUUUGACACUCUUACUUAUCGAAAAGGCUACGAUAGAUCCUACACUUGUGGGUCAUCAAGGAACUUCCCUCCUGGAGGGGGAAAUCAUCAUCAUCAUCAUGACCAACAACUCUUCCAUCUUGGGGAGGGCAAUCUCCAUCAACAUCUUGAACAACACCAUCUCAUCUCAAACCCUAGUUCAUCUCUUGUGUUCAAUCUUGCUACCGGAAUUAUAGAUUUGUGCUUGUGGGUGACUAGUAGUGUUGAUUACAUCUUGUAGUUGAUUACUAUAUGGUUUAUCUGCUGGAAGAUUAUAUGUUCAGAUCCAAUAGGCUAUUUAAUACCCCUCUGAUCUUGAGCGUGAUUAUCAUUUGUGAGUAGUUAUUUGUUCUUGAGGUCAUGGGAGAAAUCAUGUUGCAAGUAAUCAUCUGAACUUGAUAUGUGUUCGAUAUUUUGAUAGUAUGUAUGUUGUGAUUCCCUUAGUGGAGUCAUGUGAACGUCGACUACAUGACACUUCACCAUAUUUGGGCCUAAGGGAAUGCAUUGUGGAGUAGCAAUUAGAUGAUGGGUUGCGAGAGUAACAGAAGCUUAAACCCCAGUUAAUGCGCUAUUCCGUAAGGGACCGAUUGGAUCCAAAAGUUUAAUGCUAUGGUUAGAAUUUAUUCUUAAUACUUUUCUCAUAGUUGUGGAUGCUUGCGGGGGGGGNNNNNNNNNNNNNNNNNNNNNNNNNNNNNNNNNNNNNNNNNNNNNNNNNNNNNNNNNNNNNNNNNNNNNNNNNNNNNNNNNNNNNNNNNNNNNNNNNNNNNNNNNNNNNNNNNNNNNNNNNNNNNNNNNNNNNNNNNNNNNNNNNNNNNNNNNNNNNNNNNNNNNNNNNNNNNNNNNNNNNNNNNNNNNNNNNNNNNNNNNNNNNNNNNNNNNNNNNNNNNNNNNNNNNNNNNNNNNNNNNNNNNNNNNNNNNNNNNNNNNNNNNNNNNNNNNNNNNNNNUCAUAAGUAGGAGGUUUGUUCAAGUAAGUAUAACACCUAAGCACCGGUCCACCUACAUAUCAAAUUAUCAAAGUACCGAACACGAAUUAAACCAACAUGAUGAAAGUGACUAGAUGAAAAUCCUGUGUACCCUCAAGAACGCUUUUCUUAUCAUAAGAGACCGUUUUGGCCUGUCCUUUGCCUAAAAAAGGAUUGGGCUACCUUGCUGCACUUUUAUUGCUACUAUCGUUACUUGCUCGUUACAAAUUAUCUUGCUAUCAAACUACUCCGCUACUUACAAUUUCAGCACUUGCAGAUAUUACCUUGUUGAAAACCACUUGUCAUUUCCUUCUGCUCCUUGCUGGGUUCGACACUCUUACUUACCGAAAAGAGCUAUAAUUGAUCCCCUAUACAUGUGGGUCAUCAGAUAGCUGUCCUGGUGUGGGAUAUUAGUUGUAGAUGCGGUUAGAUAACGGUCUAUUCACGGACGUAAUUCUUAUACAAGAUUAUGCAAUAAAUGACCGUAGUCAUAAAUACUAGUAUUGUAAUCGAUGCCCACUAUAAUUUGUUCACCACACCACACUUAUUUGCUUAGAGAGACGUCACUAGUGAACCUAUGGCCCCGGGGUUCUAUUUUCCAUUAUUGAAAACAUCUACAAAAAUAUCAUUCUUUGUUGUACCGUUUUAUUUUAUUAUCUAUCAAUUCCUACCAUGCCAUGCAAUUUACCUUUGUAAGUAGCAGGACAAGAAUCAUGAUAACCUUCUUGAAAUGUUGGAUCAAGAUAGGGGCGAAGAUAGGAAAAAAGGUCAUCGGAGUCAACACGAACAAGCAGUACUAAUGUAGGCCCUCAAAAACAAGGAAAGAUAAUGUAUGGCUAAAAAUGUGCAACCCAUAUUGAGUACCAUGUUUAUUAUGUUUUUAGUAACCUCACAUUAAAUAAGACAUCAUAGUUGUCAAUGUAUCAUAACAAAAUAAGCUCUGGUUACAAAAAUAGUCAUUUCUCUAUUUUUUUCUUGACCUCCCUGAUCUUUUAUCUUCAAAAAGUAAAAUUCAUUUUGAUGGGAUGUGACUUGACGCUUAAUCUAGAUUUGCAUAAUCCAUGCGAUUGGAUUAUCCAUCGAGACCUUCAAGCAAUUAUAAGAAAAAAAAUCAACACGUUAAACAAACCCUAAGAUUAUAGGACAAUAAGAAUUUUUAGAUAAUAAGAGAAUAGGAAUUAUAAGAAGAAAUCGGCUUUAGUGUCACUUAGAGAUUGAAUCUGCAGAACGAAUCUUGACUACUUAUAGAAGAGAGGAGUGGAGAUUGGGUGGUGUGGUAGGGCCGCGGUGGUUUCAGGAAAACAGAGGGGUCGGAGGCAACCUGGAAAGAAAGAACGAAGGACGACUCACGACAAGAGGCAUGAAUGAUCGAGUGAGCCAGGAGAUCGAUUUGUUUGGGCUACAUGGAGCGCUCGAGUCACGAUACAAGUAAUAUGUGAGGCUGUUGGAAAUCUAUUUUUUCUGAGGCCUUGGAGUCCUAGCAUAAAUUGAUCAAUCAGAGUAGUGUGAGAAUGGACAAUGCUCGAUUUCCACCAACGAUCGAUUUGUUUUUCACUAUCGGCAGUGGCCAGCGGGGUUAUUUGGGCUAUGUGGCUGCUGGGUCAGACUGGGCCUGCAUGCUAUUUGGGCUACGGGAGUCAGCUGGGUCAGACUGGGGUCAGUCUUUUUGGUUCACUCCAUCCUUUCUUUCAUGGGUUGUAUGUAUAUAACAGGGUUUAAGCCAAGGUCAUCAGGGUUAAUUGACCCUGGCCCAACAUUAUAGCUCCGCCCCUGGGGCAAGAGUGUGAUGUGUUUUGUGUGCACGCACCCGUGACUUUGUUUGCUUAAAGGACUCCUAUUAAUUUCACAAACCUUGGUUCUCAAUCGAGGGAACUACUUAUUUCUAAGUUACUUCAUCCUUACACUUGGGGGUUGCCCAAUCACUUUUACGAGAGAUCAAGCAAUGUGCAACCGUUGGACAAGUUCUUUGGAGCAAGUGAAGCACACUUCUCGUAGUGGUGUCACCAUUCACCAAUAAGUAAUCUUGUUGUCUUUCCACAUUUGCAUUACUAUAAGCAUUCUCGUCAAUUUAAGCAUUCGCCUGUUUUAGAACAACUUAGCCCAACAGAGGUGCCGACAAAUGCCCAAACCGAAGGGCAAAUCAUUUGGCCUUCAUCCUUUCUGGAACUUGUUGCAAGGCCACAAGAAGUGAAAGUCAUGGAAUUAUGAUGGUAGUUCGAAAGCUAGGAAGUGUAAAAAUUCAUCUCGAUGGACGAUGGUGAAGAUUAUGAUGGUGAUGGAGGAAAAAGGUGUGAAGUUCCACUCCAGCAUCUACCACGGGUCUUGUCGAUGAAAGGAAGAAGGGAAGAGAGAAACUCAAGAGUGAAGGAAAUGUGAAGGUGGUGAAAAAAGAUCAAUGAGUUGAUGAGAACGAGAAACAAGUACAACGAGAAGAGGAAGCCAUAAAAGCUAGAGAAGGUGGCUAGAUGGGAUGCUAUGCAAGAGAGAAUACGACAUGAUGUAGAGAUGGAGGCUAGAUGGGAUGCUAUGCAAGAGAGAAUACGACAUGAUGUAGAGAUGGAGGCACGUAGGCUUGAUACGUCUUCAACGUAUCUAUAAUCAUUGCUUGUUUCAUCCUAUUAUAUUACCACUUUUACAUGCUUUAUAUGUCAUGUUAUAUUAUUUUUAUCGACUAACUUAUUAACUUAGUGCCCAGUGCUAGUUCUUGUUUUUCGCAUGUAUUUUGUUUCACAGAAAAACAUGCCUACCAAAGUUCAAACACGAUGAAACUUGACGGUGAUUUUUUAUGGAACAUAAGAGACCCUAGAAGCUUCAAAGAGAGACCAUAAGACAUACAAGGGGCCACAAUCCCUCGUGGUGAGCCCUGGGGGGUAGGCGCCAGAGGUGAACUUGUGGCCCCCCUAAGCCUCUGUUUGACCUAAUCUCUAGCCUAUAAAUUCUCUAAUAUUCCAAAAACCCUGAAGCGAGACCCGAACCAAUUCUUCCGCCACCGCAAGGUUGUUCUUCUGUCGCUGCUUUCUUCCGCGAUCCCAUCUGGAGGCUUUUUUUGGUACUCUUCCAGGCAAGGAAACCAUUGGGGAGGCUAUCUUCAUCAACCUUGUUGCCUCCAUGAUGAUGAUGUGUGAGUAGUUCCUAUAGGACCUACGGGUCCAUAGCAAUAGCCGGAUGGCUUUCUCUCUCUCUCUCUCUCUCUCUCUCUCUCUCUUUUGAUCUUCAAUACAAUGAUUCUUCCGAGAUCAAUCUGAUGUAAUCUUUUGUGAUGUGUUUGUUGGGAUCCGAUGAAGUGUGGCUUUAUGAUCAGAUUAUUCAUAUAUCUAUUUUGAGUUCUUGAGCCUUAAUUACUGUGUAAUUUUAUAGCUUUGUAUUUUACUCCAAUCUACCAGUCUACUUUGGCCAAGUUAAUUGAUUUAUCCUUAGUGGGAUAGGUGCUUUAUAGUAGGUUUAAUCUCACGGUGAUCAUGUCCAGUGACAGAAAGGAUAAGUACACAUAAUUAUAUUCUUGCUAGUAAGGAUAAAAGGAUGGACUUUGAACAUAUUGCUUGGCCUUAUUCUGUAUACAUUAUGUCAUCUUGCUUAAUGUGUUACUCGGUUUGUAUGAACUUAAUACUUUGAGAUGCAUGCUGGAUAUGGGUCUUGGCAUGGAGUAAUAGUAGUACACUUCAGUAAGUUUAACGGUCUACUAGUCACAAACGUAAUGCCUAUAUAAUGAUUAUGCAUUUGAUAAUCUUCAUAACUAUGCGCAAUUCUGUCAAUUUCCCAACAGUAAUUUGUUUACCCUUCGCUACUCUGCUUUGGGGAGAUAUGUCUCUAGUGAACCUAUGGCCCCUCGGUCCAUUCUCCAUAUAUUACUAGUUCCUACAAUUGCUAUCAAUCUACUAUCAUUAUCCUAGUUAUUAUUAUCCUUUGCUAUCUUUAUUAUUAUUUUCUUUUAACCUUGUGGCUAGCAAGAACAAGGGGAGUGAUGACCCCCUUGCCUUUGUUGGGUGGAAGCAAUUAUUUUGUUUGUGUGCAAGUGUUGUUAACAUUGUACCUGUAUUGCCUCCUAUUGGUUUGACAAACAUUGGUUCUUAACUAAGGAAAAUACUUUAUGCUAUUGUGCUACAUCACCCUGACUCUUCAGGGAAAUCUAACAACUCCUUCAGGAGUAGCAAGGCUCCAAAAUUAAAAGGAGAUGGAGGUGCUUAGGCUCCAAAUUAAGGAGAUCGCGUGAGAGAUGAAUGCAUAGCCAGGCAUAAUCGGUUCAUCAUGUUGGAUUUGAGCCAAAUGGAUCCAGUGGUGUGAGAUUUUUGGACGAAGGCGCGAGAUAUGGUCAUACGUUCCAAGAACUUCGAAGGAGCGCACACACCAAAGGAGGAUGGGACAGUGCACAUGAUGGUAACAUGUGAUUUGUACAUGUCAUUUGUUUAACUGUUUUUGUUCAUGCAACUUGUCGAAAACUAUAUCUAUGUGUUACUUGAUGUGCUCUGCAGAUAAAUUUGGGAGAGAACAAAGUUUUUGAAUGAAAACAGGAAAACAAUUAUGAAGACUGCAAUAUGAUGAUUCUGAGUUUGCUCGUCGUGUGCCUGGCCUUCGAAUGCAUAUAGAGCAAACCGCGCUCGAUAUACACCAUGCUGAUUGUACAUAUGACGACUUUGCUAGACUUGCUCUAAAACUGCACUAGUUGCGACAGUAAUCAAACUAAAGUUCCAAUCCAUUCGCUCAAGAGCAGCUGCACCUUUGAUUUGCAACAUUUUUAAACUUAGGAAUAGGAAUAGGAAUACGAUUGGAGUGGUAUGUUCUUUCAAAUUCUAUGUGAUAAGAAAUUCACUUGAGUUUAGAUUAAAUAGUGUUUCAUGCCACAAGGAAAAUAAUAAUAAUGUACUAAUAGUCUUAAGUUGAUGGAAAUCCUUUCUCUAUAGAGAGUGCAAACAACCCCUAAAAUUGUCAUUGGAAUUCAAUACUGCUCGGAAUUGUUUACCUACUUACUUGUUGGGAGGGGAUUUGUAGCACGCAGAUGCGAGGGCACACAUCCCCCUGUUUCUUUUGGCUUUCGAUUUUCAAUCUUUCGUAUUUUUUGAACCAAAUGUCCAAAUUAAUUUUUUUUUUCAUAUUCAUGUUUCUGUCGACAAGAGCUUUCAACUUCUGAAACUUAGUACAAGCGACCGACAAAAUCCGACAACAUCUUAAGCUUUAAGUUCAACUCUAAAACUUGGUAUGACCGACCAACAAAAUCACAUGUUUUAGAAGGACCGACAACAUCCAACAACUUAAUACUUGAUGUGCCUUCGUGCAAGAUCCAAGAACUUUGCAGGCACGGUUGAGCAGGUGCGUGUCACCACACCUGCGUGUCCCUGUGAAUUUCAGUUACUUCGUUAAUCGUUAAUUGUUUUGCAAACAAACGCCGUUUAUUUCCAGAACAACAUAAAAACAAAUGUGAAAGGACAAGAGUACCUACUUUGAUCUGUGAGAAUAUCACUCUAGUUUUUGCGAGCUGUUAUAACGGCUUAAAAAUUACUAAUAACUGAGUUUUCUUACCAAGUGAUCACUGGUGAAGCAUCCUUAAUAGCUGUGCUGUCCACAUGGCAGUUUGGGACCCCCGUGCAACUGGAGCAUGUGCAUAAGUUGGGACUGAGUGUGUACGUUAAGAUAAGAUAAUAUUGUCAUCUCAAAAGAUGCUUUGCUAAUUGCUAUUGUAUUCCUCCUGUACUUAAAAAGGAUUAGAACGACAAGACCUAGCUUGGACAGCUGAUGCAUGGGUGGCAAGACAGCCGUCUAAAUGACAGCAGAGAAAUAGGUUCUCUUUUCAGAACAUAAUAUUUUUGUCCCAACUCCCAACUCAUCUUACCAGCACAUUAGUUCGGUAUAAAGAAGAAACUCACUAAAAAAUCAGCACAUAAACGAGAAUGCAAAAUAUCAUGUCGUCGAUCUGUCGCAUCAUCCCUUUAUUUGUGCAAGUAUAUCACAACCGCUGGAUCUAUAAUUCUAUAUAGAUGCACAUAAACAGGGUGUACUGUUACAACCACAUACCACACCUGUUUUAUCUUCAUAAUUGUUACUCCCCCGUUCCAUAAUGUAGUGUGUAUAGUUUUUUUUUGAAAUGUCAAACCUUGUAAACUUUGACCAAGUUUGCAGAGAAAAACUAUUUAUAUCCACGAUACCAUAUAUAUAAAAUAUGGAACUUCAUCUUAUAUUUAAUCUAAUGAUAUAUGUUUGACAUUUUAUAUGUAAAUGUUUUUCUCGACAAACUUGAUCAAAUUUGUGAGAUUUGACUUUUCAAAAAAAUCUAUAUGCACUACAUCAUGGAAUGGAGGAAGUACUAAACAAACCAUAAUUUGCUAGGUGCAAGUUUUUUUUGCUGACUUAUAGAAUAAGUUGCCUCCUAUCUAGCUUAUUUUAGAAGCCCAACUAAAAAAAUUUAGAAGUCUACUAGUUAAGUUGGGUAGGGGGGAGUGAAUAGUAAAAAACUACCAUUUUUCGCGUUAGGGUUCCGAAAAACUACCGAAAAUUUGUUUGUGACUGAUACCCACCACUUUUCGCGUCGGUUGUCUCAAAAAAACCCAAUUGUUCGUUGCUAACAUUUUAAACCGUUUUCUGACGUUCCACCCCCGCCAGUCAGGCCACGUCAUUGCCGCGUGUGACGGCGAGGCCAUAAACGGCCGUUACCAGACCGGUGCGGUCAGGCCGUACCACUACAAAAAAACAUACUUGACAUUAUGGCCCGAACGAAAACUUUUUCUGUCAUGGCUAUGACACUUCUAUGACGAUAAUUGUGACAAAAACACGUAUCAUCAUAGAUGUGGAGGGCUCCUACCUCUAUGAAAAAAAAUCAUGACAGAAAAUGGGGUUUUCUUCCUUAGGCAGGCCGGAGGCGCACCUGCAUGACAUACUUUGGGCCGUCCAUGGCGUAAAAAAUCAUGGUAGAAGUGAGGGCGAGGAAAAUUUCGGGGAGUUCCUGGUUAACGGUGGGUGGUCGGGGCUGAGUGAUGCAGUGUGGUUUGCGUGUUUCCCUCGUAUGCGUGUGUGUGUGUGUGUGUGUGUGCGAGGCCUUCUCUUACUGAACCCGAUCGAUCCAUUGAUCCCACCACGUACUGAAGCUGAUCGAUCCCUUCGCUGCUAAAUGAAGCCGAUCGAUUCCUUCGCUACUAACUGAACCUGAUCGAUCCCUUCCCUGCGGACUGAACCCCAUCGACCCCUUUGCUGCUUACUAAAGCUGAUCGAGCCCCCGAGCGAGACGUAGCCAACUGGCGUUGGGUUACCUCUAGAUGAACAGUGCCUGUUGCUGCCGCACGCGCGAUACGUAGCGAGUCGAGACGUGUGGUGAGUCCAACCGGUUGGUUGGUUGUGGAUAAACAAUUUCCGGUGAGGGUUGGAUGAACAGGACCCCGGCCGUGUAGGCGGUUGCCGCUGGAUGAACAGGACCCCGAGAGGGGGCCGCCACACCAUGUCGGUUGGGAGUGGAUGUACAGGACCCCAUCGAGGGUGAAUGAACAGUAGCCGAUGGAUGCUGGAGAAAGUCGACAGUGGAUGAACAGUAGCUCGUGGAGGCUGAGGGAGUUGACGAUGGAUGAACAGUAGGCCGUGGAGUCCCGUUUUACAAUACGACACACCCUCCCGAUUAACAGGACCCCGUUUCGACCGUAGGCGAUCGAACAGAAGUCUGUUUUCUCUAUUUUGCGGUACGCUACACACCUCCCGAUCAACAUGGCAUUAUUUCGACCAUAGGCGCUCAAAAAGAAGUCUGUUUCCUUUGUUUUGCGGCACGCCAGACUCCUUUCGAUGAACGUGAUCUCAUCUCGACUGUACGCGGUCGAACAAAAGGUCGUUUGCUCCGCUUUGCGGUAUGCCUGACCCCAUUUCGGAUGUUUCGUCCAAGCCGGUUGGCUCCCAAUGAACAUGACGCAUUCCGUUGUCUCCCGAUGAACACGACGUUGUUUCUCCGUUCUGACCCAGCCGGUUGGCUGCCGAUGAACAGGACACUGUUGCUGUCGUCCGUUGUUUCUCCAUGUACACGAGCCAUGUCCGUACGUAUAUGCGAGUACGCGUUCGAUACCCCGCCCGUAUGUACAUAUGUGGCUGUAUUUUUUGGCAUGUGGUUGUAUGUACGUGUACACGGUUUAGACGGGACUGUCUGAACUGCUACGUCGAGGGAUCUACUUACUCGGCCACAGUUCAUCGUACGUGCAUGUUCGCGACCAGACGGACAACGCUAUGUACGCUUCGACCGGGUGGAUGUAACACCCCGAGUGUCAUGCUACAGUAACCUCACCCUAAUGAUGACAUGUUACCAUGCCUUACUAAACUAAUUAUCACUAUAUUAAAACUCAAGACAAAUUCAAAUUUCAAGUCAAACUAUUAUUUAUUCAAUCAAUAAAACAAAUGUUGGUUAGGUUGCAAAUAAUCAUCAAGGAAUUAUCAUGUAUAAACCAACAUCAUUUGGCCCACAAAUAAAUUCAUAGAAAAUUAAUAAGUGGUCCAGCAAAAGUUAAAAUAACCAUUUAAAUAUAAACCUAAUUAUAUAUAUUUUCCAAUUGGCCUCAAACUUUGUGGGCCUCGUCAAUUUGUUGCCUAGAUUUUGUAUACCAAGUUUCAUAACUUACUAAAAUCAUUUAGUAGCGAAAUUAAAUGUAAAACAAAGAAAAAAAAUACAAAAUAGAAGAGAAAAAUAAUAAAAGUAAAAAACUUACAUUGUGCACUUGGACCAGCAAUGGCACAGUGCGGCCCGGCCCACUUUAGCCGGCCUUUCCCCAGCUCUUGCCACACCCAGGAAAGGUCGAUCGCCAUGGCCAGCGUGCCUGACCCUCCCUUGCGACUGUAGCACCGUGGAGUGGAUAACACCACCCCAGUCGUCUCUCUCCAUCCCCUGAAACCCUAGUUCCCCAUUUUACCCUUCCCCUCGCCCAUGUUCUCGAUUUGGAGCUCCGCCGAGACGCAUCGGAGCACGCCGUCGCAAACCACCGCGUCCACCAGCCACCUCGAGCUGCACCAACUUCUUCAAGAGGACGACAAUGCUCCUCUUCAUCGACCACACCCCUAGAUCAAGGCCGGGAAGCACCGGCGACGCUACCCACGCCAUUCCCCUCCGUCAUUGUUCGCCUCGGCUGCCGCCUCGAUUCGCCCAUUGUAAGUAUCCCCUUGAUAUCUCACACGCGAACUAGUAGUAGUCUCGCAGAGGAACUCAAUCACAGUAGCUAUUACAAGAAUCUGGAUACACGAAUGAGAUGAAGGGGAAGAACUGGAGGUAGGGGAAAGAGAGAGGAGCCGCCGCCGUUCCGUGCCGUGAUCCACUGGAUGACCAGAGCGUCGUCCACUUGCUGGUACUUGUAAUCUUCAGCUUCGGUAGGCUGAUGGGCCCGACCCAUGUACCUGUCCAGGGGCAUGCCCGCAUACCCAUCAGGAGGGCUCCUGACAUCCCCCCUUCUUGAAAUUCGGCUUGACCCCAAGCCGACGCCACACAAAACCCCCCGGAUCCCAUUGCAGUUGAUGUUGCUUGACCAGGACGUAGUCACGCUGGCGGUCGAAACAGAAGUGGACUUCAAGGAAGUAGGAGCAGUAGUUUUGGCUGAUGGAAGCUCCAUCGAAGAAGGCGUCGAGGACAUAGCCCUUGUCAACACUGCUGUGGUCGCAGCCGAGGUAGUGCUCAUGGUUGACAGAGCCUUGCGUGAAGACGGAGGCGACGGUGAUGACACCCCUCCUUGAAAAUGAUAUUGAUUGUAGCCUGUAGAGAAUGUCAUACCACUCAUGGCCGGUGCUCCACUACUGAUUAUCUUCACAAAACUAGGAUUGUUUCCUUCAUGAAAAUGUUCUUGUGGGCAGCCAGAAGAGAAUUGCAUUUCAUCUUGAAACAUUAUUUGACAGUGAGUAAUAUCUUCCCAUGGGUGAGAAAUCUGAACUGACAAUGUUUUUUUACCAGGGCCAGGAUCCCAAGACUUCUCAAGGUGACAUGCACUAGCUGAUUUACUGCCAAUCCAUUGAGCAAUCCCAACUUCAUAGAGCCUUACAUAAAUCUUAUGAAUAGGCACAAAUCCAGUAAUAGUCGUCAUGGGAAAUAAGAGCCGCUGAGUGAACAUGGCUGCAACAGGGGAUGGCCAUGGGUGUUUUGGUUGGACUGAUGGUAAACAAAAGGAUGUGUAGGGUAACUUGCCCAAGAGAAAAGCCCCCAACCUCACGGCCCAUCUGACAAUUGUCGCACUGGACAUCAUAUAAUUGAAUUCAUGAACUGGAGAUACCCUCAAACAAGAACUUGCAAACCCAUUGAAAUAACUGUUCACCGGUUGAGUUACCGUCGAACUCGGUGCUUCUUCAUAGCUAAGCGGCAUCAAAAUCACACACUUGCCAUCCUAUGGCCGCCAUACUGAUGUAUCAUAUUUGAGAUCUUCCACUGAAUUAUUUGAACCAUUGUUCUCUACUAUCGGUAAGCAUUCUCCAAAUUCUUUGACAAUCUGAAGAAAGGGAUGUUGAUGACUAUAAUCCCCAGGGGCAUUGACUGCACAGGAAUUUGAAUUGACUGCAAGGUUUCCAACAAGAAAAUCUGUACAUGGAAAUAAUGUCCUCUCAAGCUGUAACACCAACAAUGCCCUGCUAGUAGCACUCAUGCCUAAAGGAUGCAACCCAUGUUUUAUCAUAUAAGAAAUCGUCUCAGUGCACUGCUCUAGCUCAAUCAUAAUCAACAAAGUUCCCACCAGAUGGAUCCCAAAGCUAGAUGUACUGAUAUCCUCAGUAGCAACCCAAACCUGAGUCAACUCCGAAAGAACACGAGUGAUGUCUACUACACAACCUUCUUCUUGUAGACAUUGUUGGGCCUCCAAGUGCAGAGGUUUGUAGGACACCCUCAAGUGGAUGACCUAAGGUUUACCAAUCCAUAGGAGGCAUAGGAUGAAUAUGGUCUCUCUCAAGCAACCCUGCAACCAAAUAACAAAGAGUCUCUUGUGUCCCCAACACACCCAAUACAAUGGUAAAUUGUAUAGGUGCACUAGUUCGGCGAAGAGAUGGUGAUACAAGCGGUAUAUGGAUGGUAGAUAAAGGUUUUUGUAAUCUGAAAAUAUAAAAACAGCAAGGUAACUAAUGAUAAAAGUGAGCACAUACGAUAUUGCAAUGUGUUGAAACAAGGCCUAGGGUUCAUACUUUCACUAGUGCAAGUCCUCUCAACAAUAAUAACAUGCAACAAAGAGUCACUCCAAAGUCACUAAUAGCGGAGAACAAACGAAGAGAAUAUGGUAGGGUACGAAACCACCUCAAAGUUAUUCUUUCCAAUCAAUCCGUUGGGCUAUUCCUAUAAGUGUCACAAACAGCCAUAGAGUUCGUACUAGAAUAACACCUUAAGACACAAAUCAACCAAAACCCUAAUGUCACCUAGAUACUCCAAUGUCACCUCAAGUAUUCGUGGGUAUGAUUAUACGAUAUGUAUCACACAAUCUCAGAUUCAUCUAUUCAACCAACACAUAGAACCUCAAAGAGUGCCCCAAAGUUUCUACCGGAGAAUCACGACGAAAACGUGUGCCAACCCCUAUGCAUAGGUUCAUGGGCGGAACCCGCAAGUUGAUCACCAAAACAUACAUCAAGUGAAUCACGUGAUAUCCUAUUGUCACCACAGAUACGCACGGCAAGACAUACAUCAAGUGUUCUCAAAUCUUUAAAGACUCAAUCUGAUAAGAUAACUUCAAAGGGAAAACUCAAUCCAUUACAAGAGAGUAGAGGGGGAGGAGAAACAUAAGAUCCAACUAUAAUAGCAAAGCUCGCGAUACAUCAAGAUCGUAUCAUCUCAAGAACACGAGAGGGAGAGAGAGAGAGAUCAAACACAUAGCUACUGGUACAUACCCUCAGCCCCGAGGGAGAACUACUCCCUCCUCGUCAUGGAGAGCACCGGGAUGAUGAAGAUGGCCACCGGAGAGGGAUUCCCCCCUCCGGCAGGGUGCCGGAAUGGGUCUAGAUUGGUUUUCGGUGGCUACGGAGGCUUCUGGCGGCGGAACUCCCGAUCCAUUGUGCUCCUUGAUGUUUUUAGGGUAUAUGGAGAUAUAUAGGCGGAAGAAGUACGUCAGGGGGCCACGAGGGGCCCACAAGGGUGGAGGGCGCGCCCUAGGGGGGUGGGCGCGCCCCCUACCUCGUGGCCUCCUCGAAGCUUCCCUUACGUGCACUUCAAGUCUUCUGGGCUUCUUUCUUUCCAAAAAUGAGUUCCGUGAAGUUUCAGGUCAAUUGGACUCCGUUUGAUUUUCCUUUUCUUUGAAACCCUAAAACAAGGUAAAAACAGAAACUGGCACUGGGCUCUGGGUUAAUAGGUUAGUCCCAAAAAUGAUAUAAAAGUGUAUAAUAAAGCCCAUAAACAUCCAAAACAGAAGAUAAUAUAGCAUGGAGCAAUCAAAAAUUAUAGAUACAUUGGAGACGUAUCAGCAUCCCCAAGCUUAAUUCCUGCUCGUCCUCGAGUGGGUAAAUGAUAAAAACAGAAUUUUUGAUGCGGAGUGCUACUUGGCAUAAUUUCAAUGUAAUUCUUCUUAAUUGUGGCAUGAAUAUUCAGAUCCGAAAGACUCAAGAUAAAAGUUCAUAUUGACAUAAAAAUAAUAAUACUUCAAGCAUACUAACUAAGCAAUUAUGUCUUCUCAAAAUAACAUGGCCAAAGAAAGUUCAUCCCUACAAAAUCAUAUAGUUUAGUCAUGCUCCAUUUUUGUCACACAAGAAUGCUCUCAUCAUGCACAACCCCGAUGACAAGCCAAGCAAUUGUUUCAUACUUUAGUAAUCUCAAACCUAUAAACUUUCAUGCAAUACAUGAGCGUGAGCCAUGGAUAUAGCACUACGGGUGGAAUAGAAUAAUGAGGGGGUUAUGUGGAGAAGACAAAAAUGAGAAAGUCUCACAUCAACGAGGCUAAUCAAUGGGCUAUGGAGAUGACCAUCGAUUGACGUUAAUGCAAGGAGUAGGGAUUGCCAUGCAACAGAUGCACUAGAGCUAUAAAUGUAUGAAAGCUCAACAAAAGAAACUAAGUAGGUGUGCAUCCAACUUGCAUGCUCACGAAGACCUAGGGCACUUGAGGAGGCCCAUUAUUGGAAUAUACAAGCCAAGUUCUAUAAUGAAAAUUUCCCACUAGUAUAUGAAAGUGACAAAACAAGAGACUCUCUAUCAUGAGGAUUAUGGUGCUACUUUGAAGCACAAGUGUGGCAAAGGAUAGUAGCAUUGUCCCUUCUCUCUUUUUCUCUCAUUUUUUUAUUUUCAUUUUUUGGGCCUUCUCUUUUUUAUGGCCUUUCUCCUUCCUUUUUUUGGGCCUUCUCUUUUUUUAUGGCCUUUCUCUUUUUUUUAUUCCUCACUUGGGACAAUGCUCUAGAAAAUGAUGAUCAUCACACUUCUAUUUAUUUACAACUCAAUGAUUACAACUCGAUACUAGAACAAAGUAUGACUCUAUAUGAAUGCCUCCGGUGGUGUACCGGGAUAUGCAAUGAAUCAAGAGUGACAUGUAUGAAAGAAUUAUGAAUGGUUGCUUUGCCACAAAUACUAUGUCAACUACAUGAUCAUGCUAAGCAAUAUGACAAUGAUGAAUGUGUCAUGAUGAACGAAAUGAUGGAAAGUUGCAUGGCAAUGUAUCUUAGAAUGGCUAUGGAAAUGCCAUAAUAGGUAGGUAUGGUGGCUGUUUUGAGGAAGAUAUAAGGAGGUUUAUGUGUGAUAGAGGGUAUCAUAUCACGGGGUUUGGAUGCACCGGUGAAGUUUGCACCAACUCUCAAUGUGAGAAAUGGCAAUGCACGGUACCGAAGAGGCUAGCAAGGAUGGAAGGGUGAGAGUGCGUAUAAUCCAUGGACUCAACAUUAGUCAUAAAGAACUCGCAUACUUAUUGCAAAAAUCUACAAGUCACCAAAAACCUCGGCACUACGCGCAUGCUCCUAGGGGGAUAAAUUGGUAGUAAAAGACCAUCGCUCGUCCCCGACCGCCACUCAUAAGGAAGUCAAUCAAAUAACACCUCAUGUUUCAAAUUUGUUACAUAACGUUUACCAUACGUGCAUGCUAUGGGACUUGCAAACUUCAACACAAGAAUUUCUCAAUUUCACAACUACUCAACUAGCACAACUUUGAUAUUAUUACCUCCAUAUCUCAAAACAAUCAUCAAGCAUCAAACUUCUCUUAGUAUUCAAUGCACUUAUAUGAAAGUUUUUACUAUUCCAUCUUGGAUGCCUAGCAUAUUAGGAUUAUUUAAGCAAACUACCAUGCUGUUUAAGACUCUCAAAAUAAUAUAAGUGAAGCAUGAGAGUUCAUCUAUUUCUUCAAAAUAAAACUACCACCAUGCUCUAAAAGAUAUAAUUGAAGAACUAGAGCAAAUGACAAACUACUUUGAAAGAUAUAAGUGAAGAUCAAUGAGUAGUCGAAUAAUUAUGCAACUAUGUGAAGACUCUCUAACAUUUAAUAAUCUCAGAUCUUGGUAUUUUAUUCAAACAGUAAGCAAAGCAAAAUAAAAGGACAUCUAAGAAUAACAAACAUCAUGUGAAGAAGCAAAAACUUAGGAUCAACCGAUACUAACCGAUAGUUGUUGAAGAAGAAAGGUGGGAUGCCAACCGGGGCAUCCUCAAGCUUAGACGCUUGAGACUUCUUGAAAUAUUAUCUUGGGGUGCCUUGGGCAUCCCCAAGCUUGAGCUUUUGUGUCUCCUUAAUUCCUCUCAUAUCACGGUCUCCCUAAAUCUCAAAAGCUUCAUCCACACAAAACUCAACAAGGACUCGUGAGAUAAGUUAGUAUAAACCAUUGCAAAAACCUUAUCAUACUCUACUGUAGCAAAUCACUAAAAUUAUUAUUCGACAUUUCAUACUAAAUGCCUCUGCAUAUUUAAUAGUCCUAUCCUCAAAUAGAAUCAUUAAAGAAGCAAACAUAUGCAAACAAUGCAAACAUAACAGCAAUCUGCCUAAACAGGAAAGUCUGUAAAGAAUGCAGCAACAUCCAUACUUCCCUAGCUCCAAAAAUUAUGAAAGAAAAUUCCCACUGUAGUAAUUUUAUCAGAGCUUAAUAUGCAAAAGGUUUCAACAUUUUAUCACAUUAUGACUUUUCUAGGGAAUUAUUGCAACAGCGGUAAACUUUCUGUUUUCAAACAGCAACAUGAAGACUUGUAAAAUAGGCAUAAUAAAGGCUACCAAUGCCACUUUUAUUGAAAUAAAAGAUGCAAAACAUUGUUAUAAAUAACAGCAAGCAAAUCCUAACAAAAUAAAUUGACGCUCCAAGCAAAACACAUAUCAUGUGGUGAAUAAAAAUAUAGCUCCAAGUAAAGUUACCGAUGAACGAAGACGAAAGAGGGGAUGCCUUCCGGGGCAUCCCCAAGCUUAGGCUCUUGCCACUCCUUAUUCCAUAGUCCAUCGAAUCCUUACCCAAAACUUGAAAACUUCACAACACAAAACUUAACAAAAAACUCGUAAGCUCCAUUAGUAUAAGAAAAUAAAUCACCACUUCAAGGUACUGUAAUGAACUCAUUCUUUAUUUAUAUUGGUGUUAAACCUACUGUAUUCCAACUUCUCUAUGGUUUAUAAACUAUUUUACUAGCCAUAGAUUCAUCAAAAUAAGCAAACAACACACGAAAAACAGAAUCUGUCAAAAACAGAACAGUCUGUAGUAAUCUGAAUCAAACGUAUACUUAUGGAACUCAUAAAAUUCUCAAAUAAAUUGCUGGACCUGAGGAAUUUAUAUUAAUCAUCUUCAAAAAUAAUUAACUAAAUAGAACUUUACAAAUAAACAUGGCAGCAAUUCUCGUGAGCGCUAAAGUUUCUGUUUUUUACAGCAUGAUCAACAAGACUUUCCCCGAGUCUUCCCAAAGGUUCUACUUGGCACAAACACUAAUUAAAACAAUAAAACCACAUCUAAACAGAGGCUAGAUGAAUUAUUUAUUACUAAACAGGAGCAAAAAUCAAGGAAUAAAAAUAAAAUUGGGUUGCCUCCCAACAAGCGCUAUCGUUUAACGCCCCUAGCUAGGCUUGAUGAUUUCAAUGAUGCUCACAUAAAAGAUAAGAAUUGUAACAUAAAAAGAGCAUCAUGAAGAAUAUGACUAGAACAUUUAAGUCUAACAUACUUCCUAUGCAUAGGGAUUUUGUGAGCAAACAACUUGUCGGAACAAGAAUCAACUUGCAUAGGAAGGUAAAACAAGCAUAACUUCAAAAUUUUAAGCACAUAGAGAGGAAAAUUGAUAUUAUGGCAAUUCCUACAAGCAUAUAUUCCUCCCUCAUAAUAAUUUUCAGUAGCAUCAUGAAUGAAUUCAACAAUAUAACCAGCACCUAAAGCAUUCUUUUCAUGAUCUACAAGCAUAGAAAAUUUACUACUCUCCACACAAGCAAAAUUCUUCUCAUGAAUAAUAGUGGGAGCAAACUCAACAAAAUAACUAUCAUGUGAUUGAAAAUUAAGAUCAAGAUGACAAGUUUCAUGGUUAUCAUUAUUCUUUAAAGCAUACAUGUCAUCACAAUAAUCAUCAUAGAUAGGAGACAUGAUUUUAUCAUAAUAAAUUUGCUCAUCAAAACUUGGGGGACAAAAAAUAUCAUCUUCAUCAAACAUAGCUUCCCCAAGCUUGUGGCUUUGCAUAUCAUUAGCAUCAUGGAUAUUCAAGGAAUUCAUACUAACAACAUUGCAAUCAUGCUUUUCAUUCAAAUAUUUAGUGCCAAACAUUUUAUAGAUUUCUUCUUCUAGCACUUGAGCACAAUUAUCCUUUCCAUCAUACUCAUGAAAGAUAUUAAAAAGGUGAAGCCUAUGCGACAAACUCAAUUCCAUUUUUUUAUAGUUUUCUUUUAUAAACUAAACUAGUGAUAAAACAAGAAACUAAAAGACUCGAUUGCAAGAUCUAAAGAUAUACCUUCAAGCGCUAACCUCUCCGGCAAUGGCGCUAGAAAAGAGCUUGAUGUCUACUACACAACCUUCUUCUUGUAGACGUUGUUGGGCCUCCAAGUGCAGAGGUUUGUAGGACAGUAGCAAAUUUCCCUCAAGUGGAUGACCUAAGGUUUAUCAAUCCGUAGGAGGUGUAAGAUGAAGAUGGUCUCUCUCAAGCAACCCUGCAACCAAAUAACAAAGAGUCUCUUGUGUCCCCAACACACCCAAUACAAUGGUAAAUUGUAUAGGUGCACUAGUUUGGCGAAGAGAUGGUGAUACAAGUGGUAUAUGGAUGGUAGAUAAAGGUUUUUGUAAUCUGAAAAUAUAAAAACAGCAAGGUAACUAAUGAUAAAAGUGAGCACAAACGGUAUUGCAAUGUGUUGAAACAAGGACCAGGGUUCAUACUUUCACUAGUGCAAGUCCUCUCAACAAUAAUAACAUAAUUGGAUCACAUAACUAUCCCUCAACAUGCAACAAAGAGUCACUCCAAAGUCACUAAUAACGGAGAACAAACGAAGAGAUUAUGGUAGGGUACGAAACCACCUCAAGGUUAUUCUUUCCAAUCAAUCCGUUGGGCUAUUCCUAUAAGUGUCACAAACAACCCUAGAGUUCGUACUAGAAUAACACCUUAAGACACAAAUCAACCAAAACCCUAAUGUCACCUAGAUACUCCAAUGUCACCUCAAGUAUCUGUGGGUAUGAUUAUACGAUAUGUAUCACACAAUCUCAGAUUCAUCUAUUCAACCAACACAUAGACCCUCAAAGAGUGCCCCAAAGUUUCUGCCGGAGAAUCACGACGAAAACGUGUGCCAACCCCUAUGCAUAGGUUCAUGGGCGGAACCCGCAAGUUGAUCACCAAAACAUACAUCAAGUGAAUCACGUGAUAUCCUAUUGUCACCACAGAUACGCACGGCAAGACAUACAUCAAGUGUUCUCAAAUCUUUAAAGACUCAAUCUGAUAAGAUAACUUCAAAGGGAAAACUCAAUCCAUUACAAGAGAGUAGAGGGGGAGGAGAAACAUAAGAUACAACUAUAAUAGCAAAGCUCGUGAUACAUCAAGAUCGUAUCAUCUCAAGAACACGAGAGAGAGAGAGAGAGAGAGAGAGAGAUCAAACACAUAACUACUGGUACAUACCCUCAGCCCCGAGGGAGAACUACUCCCUCCUCGUCAUGGAGAGCACCGGGAUGAUGAAGAUGACCACCGGAGAGGGAUUUCCCCCUCCGGCAGGGUGCCGGAACGGGUCUAGAUUGGUUUUCGGUGGCUACGGAGGCUUCUAGCGGUGGAACUCCCGAUCUAUUGUGCUCCUUGAUGUUUUUAGGGUAUAUGGAGAUAUAUAGGCGAAAGAAGUACGUCAGGGGCCGCGAGGGGCCCACGAGGGUGGUGGGCGUGCCCUAGGGGGGUGGGCGCGCCCCACUACCUCGUGGCCUCCUAGAAGCUUCCCUUACGUGCACUUCAAGUCUUCUAGGCUUCUUUCUUUCCAAAAAUGAGUUCCGUGAAGUUUCAGGUCAAUUGGACUCCGUUUGAUUUUCCUUUUCUUCGAAACCCUAAAACAAGGUAAAAACAGAAACUGACACUGGGCUCUGGGUUAAUAGGUUAGUCCCAAAAAUGAUAUAAAAGUGUAUAAUAAAGCCCAUAAAUAUCGAAAACGGAAGAUAAUAUAGCAUGGAGCAAUCAAAAAUUAUAGAUACAUUGGAGACGUAUCAGCAUCCCCAAGCUUAAUUCCUGCUCGUCCUCGAGUAGGUAAAUGAUAAAAACAGAAUUUUCGAUGCGGAGUGCUACUUGGCAUAAUUUCAAUGUAAUACAUUAAUUGUGGCAUGAAUAUUCAGAUCCGAAAGACUCAAGAUAAAAGUUCAUAUUGACAUAAUAAUAAUAAUAAUACUUCAAGCAUGCUAACUAAGCAAUUAUGUCUUCUCACAAUAACAUGGCCAAAGAAAGUUCAUCCCUACAAAAUCAUAUAGUUUAGUCAUGCUCCAUUUUCGUCACACAAGAAUGCUCUCAUCAUGCACAACCCCGAUGACAAGCCAAGCAAUUGUUUCAUCCUUUAGUAAUCUCAAACCUAUAAACUUUCACGCAAUACAUGAGCGCGAGCCAUGGAUAUAGCACUAUGGGUGGAAUAGAAUAAUGAGGGGGUUAUGUGGAGAAGGCAAAAAGGAGAAAGUCUCACAUCAAUGAGGCUAAUCAAUGGGCUAUGGAGAUGACCAUCGAUUGAUGUUAAUGCAAGGAGUAGGGAUUGCCAUGCAACGGAUGCACUAGAGCUAUAAAUGUAUGCAAGCUCAACAAAAGAAACUAAGUGGGUGUGCAUCCAACUUGCUUGCUCACGAAGACCUAGGGCACUUGAGGAGGCUCAUUGUUGGAAUAUACAAGCCAAGUUCUAUAAUGAAAAUUUCCCACUAGUAUAUGAAAGUGACAAAACAAGGGACUCUCUAUAAUGAGGAUUAUGGUGCUACUUUGAAGCACAAGUGUGGCAAAGGAUAGUAGCAUUGUCCCUUCUCUCUUUUUCUCUCAUUUUUUUAUUUUCAUUUUUUGGGCCUUCUCUUUUUUAUGGCCUUUCUCCUUCCUUUUUUUGGGCCUUCUCUUUUUUAUGGCCUUUCUCUUUUUUUAUUCCUCACUUGGGACAAUGUUCUAGAAAAUGAUGAUCAUCACACUUCUAUUUAUUUACAACUCAAUGAUUACAACUCGAUACUAGAACUCGAUACUGGGCUCUAGGUUAAUAAGUUAGUCCCAAAAAUGAUAUAGAAGUGUAUAAUAAAGCCCAUAAACAUCCAAAACAGAAGAUAAUAUAGCAUGGAGCAAUCAAAAAUUAUAGAUAUGUUGGAGACGUAUCAACGAGUGAUGUGCAGAGAUUCAGAAUUCGUUCUCAAGUUUCUUCUGAAUUCUCUAGCAAAAUUGGUUGGUCAUGGAGGUUGGGUUUGCAGCAACCGCACAUGCUCCCCUGAUUGGGUGAAAAAUGGAUUAAGUCGAAUUAGAAUAAACAUGUUUCCCACCAAGUGAAUGCCAACACAUAGGAAAAUGUUGCUAGUGAUUUUCUUGCUCUGUCAUGCAGUAUACUGCACUCUCCUUUCAUGAACACUGCUUGGAUAUAUAUAACUGAACGACCUGAACAAUACUUCUCUGCUGUAGCUAUACUUAUGGGCUCUGCAACUGAAUUUUUUGAACCGUUGUUCUUGAGCAUAAUUGUAGGUACUAGGUCCUUUAAUUGUGCCACAAUCUGUAGGACCCUUUUAUGCAUUGUGCGGAGUACUACUCCAUGAGCAAGAAGCACGUUGUGCCACUCUAUAAGAUGAACAUGAGCGGCACCAGAAGAACUGAAUUGGUAUGCAUGCCACCAUUCAGUCAACCCUUGAGUAGAGUGAGUAGUUACACAAACCCCCAAAUCUUAAAUAUGCGAGUAACCAUCUUCCAUACAUGUACUGCUCUGAAGUUUCCUGAAAAUGGUGACCACAAUAGCUCCAACAGCAUAUUCUCUCGAUCACUUACUUCAUAAGAGAACUGUACAAAACAGAUCACCGACCACCACUCAGUAGCACACAAGUGUAAACCAUCCAUUAUUGGCAUUAUCAACAGACUUGAGACAUGGGUAUUUCUUUGUCUAGGAGGAAUCCCGCAAGCAACCUUCUGACAAAGACAUGGCUUUAGCUUUUCAUCUGCUUGAUCCACCAGAGACGAUGGCCAAGGCGUUGGUCGUAGCAGCAGGCCCUGGUGCCUUGUAUGCGGCGAAACGUCCGACUCUCCAUCUGGAUGUACUACUAAAGAUAGCUCCGUCUGAUAGUCAGCCGGCUGGUGGUUAGGUGGCCACCACUCAUAGCCAAACUCAUCAGUGAAACAUUCAUGCGGUCGAUGCUCUGCGUGUGCGAUUGGCUGCACCCUGUCAUUGUCAUGGACGAGGACAACCGAAGGCACCGAUUUCUCCGCACAUGUGACCAAAAAAAUCAGGGACGCAUUAGCAACGCCGUCGCAGUUGUUGGCGAUGUCAGGGCCAUACCUUGAGAGCGUGGGAGGUACACGGGUGGCAAGUUGGACAUCGAUGGUGAAGUCGACAGACCGGGACGCGGUCGCAACAACCUGGUACUCCUUCUGGUCUUUCGGUUCGGCCAUUGGAGGGGUGGGUUUGAUAUUGUUGAGGUUGACCACAGGCUUGAGAAGGGUGGCAGCUGCAGGGGUGUCAUGGCCCUUGUUGCCAAAUUCGGUGGUGGCAACCUGGUGCGAGCAUUUCGUCGAACAGAUGACGCACGCCAUCUCGAUGGAGGCAGGGGCCGCGUCGUGGAUGAAUUCGAGGACCUCCCGGGACUUGGUGGUGGAGCAGGAGACGUCAGGGAUGGGCGCUGAUGAUGCAUGCGUCGUGGUUGAGGCCGCCAGAUUGACAAGCGAGGUGACCAUGGGAGGGUCACCCACCCGUGCAACCCCCAACACUGAGCUCACCUCCUCCGCCUGAGAGCAUAAUCUCUCAAGAUACCACAACAACUACUCCUUGGCAGACAUGGCAUCCCACUCUAGUGGUUUGACAGCGGGCAUGCCAUCGUCGCCAGUGAAAUUGGGAGAAAAUUUGGGGGAAAUUUGGGGGGGAAGGGUGGUGCCUGGCUCUAAUACCAUAUGUAAGUAUCCCCUUGAUAUCUCACACACGAACUAGUAGUAGUCUCGCAGAGGAACUCAAUCACAAUAGCUAUUACAAGAAUCUGGAUACACGAAUGAGAUGAAGGGGAAGAACUGGAGGUAGGGGAAAGAGAGAGGAGCUGCCGCCGUUCCGUGCCGUGAUCCACUGGAUGACCAGAGCGUCGUCCACUUGCUGGUACUUGUAAUCUUCAGCUUCGGUAGGCUGAUGGGCCCGACCCAUGUACCUGUCCAGGGGCAGGCUCGCAUACCCAUCAGAAGGGCUCCUGACACCCAUCUUCAAGCACCCCAGCUUCCCCGAGCGCCUCACCUUACCACUGUGAGCCCCAGCUCCCCCUUGACCUGUCCCCCUUUGCUUUCUCGUGCCCCGUAGUCGUCCCGUCAUUGGGUGAUAUGUCCAUUUUGCAUCAUGCUUUUAUAUCGAUAUUUAUUGCAUUAUGGGCUGUUAUUACACAUUAUGUCACAAUACUUAUGCCUAUUCUCUCUUAUUUUACAAGGUUUACAUGAAGAGGGGGAAUGCGGCAGCUGGAAUUCUGGGAUGGAAAAGGAGCAAAUACUAGAGACCUAUUCUGCACAUCUCCAAGAGUCCUGAAACUUCACGGGAGAACGUUUCAAAAUAUAUAAAAAAUAUUGAGCGCAAGAAGUACCAGAGGGGGGCCACCCACCAGCCACGAGGGUGGGGGGUGCGCCCUACCCCCCUGGGCGCGCCCCCUGCCUCGUGGGCCCCCUGGUGGCCCUUCGAUGCCCAUCUUCUGCUAUAUGAGGUCUUUCAUCCGAGAAAAAAAUCAUAAGCAAGCUUUGGGGAAGAAACUCCGCCGCCACCAGGCGGAACCUUGGAGGAACUAAUCUAGGGCUCCGGCAGAGCUGUUCUGCCGGGGAAACUUCCCUCCGGGAGGGGGAAAUCAUCGCCAUCGUCAUCACCAAUGAUCCUCUCAUCGGGAGGGGGUCAAUCUCCAUCAACAUCUUCACCAGCACCAUCUCAUCUCAAACCCUAGUUCAUCUCUUGUAUCCAAUCUUUGUAUCCAAACCUCAGAUUGGUACCUGUGGGUUGCUAGUAGUGUUGAUUACUCUUUGUAGUUGAUGCUAGUUGGUUUACUUUGUGGAAGAUCAUAUGUUCAGAUCCAUUAUGCAUAUUAGUACCCCUCUAAUUAUGAACAUGAAUAUGCUUUGUGAGUAGUUACAUUUGUUCCUGAGGACAUGGGAGAAGUCUUGCUAUAAGUAGUCAUGUGAAUUUGGUAUUCGUUCGAUAUUUUGAUGAGAUGUAUGUUGUCAUCCCUCUAGUGGUGUCGUGUGAACGUCGACUACAUGACACUUCACCAUUGUUUGGGACUAGAGGGAGGCAUUGGGAAGUAAUAAAUAGAUGAUGGGUUGCUAGAGUGACAGAAGGUUAAACCCUAGUUUAUGCGUUGCUUCGUAAGGGGCUAAUUUGGAUCCAUAUGUUUCAUGCUAUGGGUAGGUUUACCUUAAUACUUCUGUUGUAGUUGCAGAUGCUUGCAAUGGGGGUUAAUCAUAAGUGGGAUGCUUGUCCAAGUAAGGACAACACCCAAGCACCGGUCCACCCACAUAUCAAAUUAUCAAAGUACCAAACGCGAAUCAUAUGAUCGUGAUGAAAACUAGCUUGAUGAUAAUUCCCAUGUGUCCUAGGGAGUGCUUUCCUUCAUAUAAGAGUUUGUCCAGGCUUGUCCUUUGACACAAAAAGGAUUGGGCCAUCUUGCUGCACCUUAUUCACCUUUAUUACUUGCUACUCGUUACAAAUUACCUUAUCACAAAACUAUCUAUUACCGAUAAUUUCAGUGCUUGCAGAGAAUACCUUACUGAAAACUGCUUAUCAUUUCCUUCUGCUCCUCGUUGGGUUUGACACUCUUACUUAUCGAAAAGCUAUGAUAGAUACCCUACACUUGUGGAUCAUCAAGACUCUUUUCUGGCGUUGUUGCUGGGGAGUGAAGCGCCUUUGGUAGGUGGAAUUUGGUAAGGAAAAAUUUAUAUAGUGUGGUGAAAUUUACUGUCACUUGUUACUAUGGAACAUAAUCCUUUGAGGGGCUUGUUCGGGGUAUCUUCACCCCGACCAGUAGAGCAAAGAGUUGAUCCUCAACCUACUGAACCUACUGAAACUAUUUACUUUGAAAUUCCUUCGGGAAUGAUAGAGAAACUGUUAGCUAAUCCUUUUGCAGGAGACGGAACAUUGCACCCCGAUUUACACUUAAUCUAUGUGGAUGAAGUUUGUGGAUUAUUUAAGCUUGCAGGUAUGCCCGAGGAUGUUUUCAAGAAGAAGGUCCUCCCUUUAUCUUUGAAGGGAGAUGCAUUGACAUGGUAUAGGCUAUGUGAUGAUAUGGGAUCAUGGGACUACAAGCGAUUCAAAUUGGAAUUUCACCAGAAGUUUUAUCCUAUGCAUAUUGUUCAUCGUGAUCGUAAUUAUAUAUAUAAUUUUUGGCCUCGCGAAGGAGAAAGCAUCGCUCAAGCUUGGGGGAGGCUUAAGUCAAUGUUAUAUUCAUGCCCCAAUCAUGAGCUCUCAAGAGAAAUGAUUAUUCAAAAAAUUUAUGCUCGGCUUUCUCUCAGUAAUCGCUCCAUGCUCGAUACUUCUUGUACUGGAUCUUCUAUGGUGAAGACUAUUGAAUUCAAAUGGGAUUUAUUGGAGAGAAUUAAACGCAACUCUGAAGAUUGGGACCUCGAGGAAGGUAAGGAGUCAGGUAUAACACCUAAGUUUGACUGUGUUAAAUCUUUUAUGGAUACCAAUGCUUUCCGUGAAUUUAGCACUAAAUAUGGACUUGACCCUGAGAUAGUAGCUUCCUUUUGUGAAUCCUUUGCUACUUAUGUUGAUCUCCCUAAGGAGAAGUGGUUUAAAUAUAAUCCUCCCAUUGAAGUAAAAGUAGUUGCACCUAUUAAAGUUGAAGAAAAGACUAUCACUUAUAAUGAUCUUGUUGUUCCUACUGCUUAUGUUGAGAAACCACCUUUCCCUGUUAGAAUAAAGGAUCAUGCUAAAGUUUCAACUGUAGUCAACAAAAGUAAUAUUAGGACACACAAACCCCGUGAGAAAGUUAAAGUUGAACCUAAUAUUUCUAUGGUUAAAGAUCUCUUGGCCGAUAAUAUUGAUGGGCAUGUUAUUUACUUCUGUGAUGAGACUACUAGAAUUGUUAGACCUGAUACUAAAAAUAAACAUAGACCUGUUGUAGGCAUGCCUGUUAUUUCUGUUAAAAUAGGAGAUCAUUGCUAUCAUGGCUUAUGUGAUAUGGGUGCUAGUGCAAGUGCAAUACCCCAUUCCUUAUACAAAGAAAUUAUGCAUGAUAUUGCACCUGUUGAGAUAGAAGAUAUCGAUGUUACCAUUAAGCUUGCCAAUAGAGAUACUAUUUCACCAAUUGGGAUUGUUAGAGAUGUUGAAGUCUUGUGUGGGAAGGUUAAAUAUCCUGCUGAUUUUCUUGUUCUUGGUUCCCCACAAGAUAGCUUUUGUCCCAUUAUAUUUGGUAGACCCUUCUUGAAUACUGUUAAUGCUAAGAUAGACUGCAAUAAGGAUAUUGUUUCUAUUGGUUUAGGGGAUAUGUCUCAUGAGUUUAAUUUUGCUAAGUUCUCAUGAGUUUAAUUUUGCUAAGUUCCAUAGACAACCCCGGGAUGAGGAAUUGCCUAGUAAAGAUGAAAUAAUUGGUCUUGCUUCUAUUGCCGUGCCUCCUACCGAUCCUUUAGAACAAUAUUUGCUAGACAAUGAAAAUGAUAUGUUUAUGAAUGAAAGAAGGGAAAUAGAUGAAGUAUUCUUUAGACAGGGACCUAUUCUGAAACACAACUUGCCUGUUGAAAUCUUAGGGGAUCCUCCUCCACCCAAGGGUGAUCCCGUGUUUGAGCUUAAACCAUUGGCUGAUACUCGUAAAUAUGCUUAUCUUGAUGAAAAGAAGGUAUAUCCUAUUAUUAUUAGUGCUAUCCUUUUAGAGAAGGAGGAAGAGAAAAUAUUGAAAACUCUGAAGAAGCACCGUGCUGCUAUUGGAUAUACUCUUGAUGACCUUAAGGACAUUAGUCCCACUCUAUGUCAACAGAAAAUAAAUUUGGAGAAAGACGCCAAACCAGUUAUUGAUCACCAACGACGGCUGAAUCCUAAGAUGAAAGAAGUGGUAAGAAAGGAAAUAUUAAAGCUCCUUGAGGCAAGUAUAAUUUAUCCCAUUUCUGAUAGUCAGUGGCUAAGUCGUGUCCAUUGUGUCCCUACGAAGGGAGGUAUUACUAUCGUUCCUAAUGAUAAAGAUGAAUUGAUUCCACAAAGUAUUAUUACAGGUUAUAGGAUGGUAAUUGAUUUUCGCGGAUUAAAUAAAGCUACUAAAAAAUAUCAUUACCCUUUGCCUUUCAUCGAUCAAAUGCUAGAAAGAUUAUCCAAACAUACACAUUUUUGCUUUCUAGAUGGUUACUCUGCCUUCUCUCAAAUACAUGUGUGAGCUGAUGAUCAAGAAAAGACCACUUUUACUUGCCCUUUCGGUACUUUUGCUUGUAGACGUAUGCCUUUUGGUUUAUGUAAUGCACCUGCUACCUUUCAAAGAUGCAUGAUGGCUAUAUUCUCUGACUUUUGUGAAAAGAUUUGUGAGGUUUUCAUGGACGAUUUCUUCGUUUAUGGAUCCUCUUUUGAUGAUUGCUUGAGCAACCUUGAUUGAGUUUUGCAGAGAUGUGAAGAAACUAAUCUUGUCUUGAACUGGGAGAAGUGCCACUUUAUGGUUAAUGAAGGCAUUGUCUUGGGGCAUAAAAUUUCUGAAAGAGGUAUCGAAGUUGACAAAGCUAAAGUUGAUGCUAUUGAAAAGAUGUCGUGUCCCAAGGACAUCAAAGGUAUAAGUAGCUUCCUUGGUCAUGCCGGUUUUUAUAGGAGGUUCAUUAAGGACUUCUCAAAAAUUUCCCGGCCUCUGACUAACCUAUUACAAAAAGAUAUUCCUUUUGUCUUUGAUGAUGAUUGUGUAGAAGCAUUUGAAAUACUUAAGAAAGCCUGGAUUUCUGCACCUAUUGUUCAGCCACCUGAUUGGAAUUUACCCUUUGAAAUUAUGUGUGAUGCUAGUGAUUAUGCAAUAGGUGUUGUUCUAGGGCAAACAGUUAAUAAGAAAUUAAAUGUUAUUCAAUAUGCUAGUAAAACCCUAGAUAACGCCCAGAGAAAUUAUGCUACUACUGAAAAAUAAUUUUUAGCAGUUGUAUUUGCUUGUGAUAAGUUCAGACCUUAUAUUGUUGAUUCUAAAGUAACUAUCCACACUAAUCAUGCUACUAUUAAAUAUCUCAUGGAAAAUAAAGAUGCUAAACCUAGACUUAUGAGAUGGGUUCUCCUGCUACAAGAAUUUGAUCUGCAUAUCAUUGAUAGAAAGGGAGCUGAGAACCCCAUUGCAGACAACUUGUCUAGGUUAGAGAAUGUUCUUGA